rnacentral:rRNA from 1 species
CAAUAGCGUAUAUUAAAGUUGUUGCAGUUAAAAAGCUCGUAGUUGGAUUUGUGGCGUACGGUGUGUUCCGGGCACUUGUUGUCUGAGUAACCUGCUGUUGCCAUCCUUGGGUGGAACCUGUGUGGCAUUAGGUUGUCGUGCAGGGGAUGCCCAUCAUUUACUGUGAAAAAAUUAGAGUGUUCAAAGCAGGCUUAUGCCGUUGAAUACAUUAGCAUGGAAUAAUGAGAUAGGACUUUCUUGCUAUUUUGUUGGUUUGCGCAAAGAGGUAAUGAUUAAUAGGGACAGUUGGGGGUAUUCGUAUUCCAUUGUCAGAGGUGAAAUUCUUGGAUUUUUGGAAGACGAACUACUGCGAAAGCAUUUACCAAGGAUGUUUUCAUUAA